rnacentral:misc_RNA from 1 species
GAUGAAGAACGCAGCGAAAUGCGAUAAGUAGUGUGAAUUGCAGAAUUCAGUGAAUCAUCGAAUCUUUGAACGCACAUUGCGCCCCUUGGUAUUCCAUGGGGCAUGCCUGUUCGAGCGUCAUUUGUACCUUCAAGCUCUGCUUGGUGUUGGGUGUUUGUCCUUGCUCUAGUGGCGGGACUCGCCUUAAAGUAAUUGGCAGCCAGUGGUUUGGUUUUGAAGCGCAGCACAAGUCGCGAUUCAAGUCUAUACGCUAGUUUCCACAAGUCUUUUAUCACUUUUGACCUCGGAUCAGGUAGGGAUACCCGCUGAACUUAAGCAUAUCAAUAAGCGGAGGA